rnacentral:pre_miRNA from 1 species
CCUUAUCACUUUUCCAGCCCAGCUGCACACAGAUGUGUUGGACGGAGAACUGAUAAGGGC